CUCAUCUGUUCAAUAUCAGUCCUACAAUUACCAAUUUGAAAACUUUUCUCCCACUAAAGGCAGGUUCUUUCCUGCUGGGGAGGAGACAUCCAGUUUAACCCUGAGCAGCUGCCAGCAAACUUCACCAGACCUUCGGGAAGAGCUCCUUGGGACCAGCAGCAGGACAGGAGUACCGCCAGCAGGGAAGGACAAGGUGAUGAUGCAGGAACUGGUGUGUGCAGGACCAGAUCCAUUCACAUCUGAGCUUUGCUGUGCCCAUUUAUUGGUGUUCCAGGUGAAUUAGGAUUUGUGUCUGCUCUUCAGUUUAAAGUGGACACACAUUUGUUGGCAGUCCUCCCAUCCCUGUAAUGGAUGUGGCCACUUACUGCAGCUGCUGACAGCACCAUCAAGGGAAGUGUGGAGCCACGAGGCUUCUGUAUCUUCACAAGUCCUAGCAGGUAAGUUCUUCAUUCCCCUCUCCCUUCCCAGAUGAUGCACAUGCAUCAUAUUUCCUUGAAAUAAGUAUUUCCAUGAAGGCCGAAGAUGUUAAU
rnacentral:lncRNA from 1 species